GACGAACGCUGGCGGCGUGCUUAACACAUGCAAGUCGAACGGAAAGGCCCUGCUUGCAGGGUACUCGAGUGGCGAACGGGUGAGUAACACGUGGGUGAUCUGCCCUGCACUUCGGGAUAAGCCUGGGAAACUGGGUCUAAUACCGGAUAGGAGCCAUUUUUAGUGUGAUGGUUGGAAAGUUUUUUCGGUGUAGGAUGAGCUCGCGGCCUAUCAGCUUGUUGGUGGGGUAAUGGCCUACCAAGGCGGCGACGGGUAGCCGGCCUGAGAGGGUGGACGGCCACAUUGGGACUGAGAGACGGCCCAGACUCCGACGGGAGGCAGCAGUGGGGAAGAUUGCACAAGGGGCGCAAGCCUGAUGCAGCGACGCCGCGUGGGGGAUGACGGCCUUCGGGUUGUAAACUCCUUUCGCUAGGGACGAAGCUUUUUGUGACGGUACCUAGAGAAGAAGCACCGGCUAACUACGUG
rnacentral:rRNA from 1 species